rnacentral:misc_RNA from 1 species
AAACGGCCGGCUGUUCUGAAAUAGAUUAGCAAGAUCCUCUUUGUAAUUGGUUCCUACUCAACGUGAUAAGUAUUUCGUUGAGGACAUCUUUUUGAAAAAAGAGAUGGCCAAGAUAAGAAGAGUCUAGAUCAGCUCCUAACCACCCCAAAUUUAAAACAUGAUCUGGCCUCAAAUCAGGCGGGACUACCCGCUGAACUUAA